GACGAACGCUGGCGGCGUGCUUAACACAUGCAAGUCGAACGAUGAACCGAGAGCUUGCUCUUGGGGAUUAGUGGCGAACGGGUGAGUAACACGUGAGUAACCUGCCCUGGACUCUGGGAUAACCCCGAGAAAUCGGAGCUAAUACCGGAGAGGACCCCGUACCGCAUGGUGUGGGGUGGAAAGUUUUUUCGGUCUGGGAUGGACUCGCGGCCUAUCAGCGUGUUGGUGAGGUAAUGGCUCACCAAGGCGUCGACGGGUAGCCGGCCUGGGAGGGUGACCGGCCACACUGGGACUGAGACACGGCCCAGACUCCUACGGGAGGCAGCAGUGGGGAAUAUUGCACAAUGGGCGCAAGCCUGAUGCAGCAACGCCGCGUGCGGGAUGACGGCCUUCGGGUUGUAAACCGCUUUUAGUAAGGAAGAAGGGGCUUCGGCCUUGACGGUACUUGCAGAAAAAGGACCGGCUAACUACGUGCCAGCCGCCGCUGUAACAC
rnacentral:rRNA from 1 species